AGCAAAAACCAUAAUCUGGGCUCAAAUCACAUUCAGAUCCAAUCCAGAAAUAACAAUUUCAUGUCCGAUUAAACAAUCAGUGAAAUAAACAUCCAAAAUCCAGACCAUUUGGGGAAAACAGAAGGUCGAAACUAAAAAAAAAACUGAAGUUAAGUAGGGAAUGAAGAAGUAUUUAUUAUCAAGAAAAGUGGGAUGGAAGAAAUGGGGCUGGAUUUCUGCUUAUUAUUGUUCUUGCAAUGGUCCUGUUCACUAGAUACAGCAGUACGGGAAAAUCAUUCAACAGUAGUGUAGGAGAAUCUCCAAAAAAGCAAUCAGCUUAUGAGUUUUUCAACAACAAUAAUAAUGAAGGUUCAAAUGAUGUAGUAGAUGAAAAUGCCAAAUUGCCUGAAUCAAAAUCAGUAGUAGAGCUAGUUACUUUCAAGGAAAAACCGCAUCUUAUUAACGUCGAAAGGCUUAAUGAACUAUACAGCUUGAGUUAUAAUGUUUCAAAGGAAGAGUUAUAACGCUGAAAAUCUAUACCCAAACAAAAUAAGAAUAGAACUGGACCGGAGACGCAGCAGAGCAUAAAACUAUACAGCCUGACCCAUGGAAAAUCAUUUUUACUCCCAGGAAAUCAGUGGACUGAAACGCUGUAUUGACUUCAAACCAAAGUUGGACCCAAUUUAAGACUAAAAGGAAAUAGUUUUUCAAAGAAGCAUAGUAGAGAUCCAGAAAUUAAUUUCCAAACAGAAGACUUCAAAUAACGAACUGAAUCCAUAACAAAAACUUGAAGCUGUCCAUUUUUGCCGAAGGACUUAAUUAAGGCGAUAAAUUAGAAUGGUGACAACGAGAUGGAACAUAGAUUCACCAUAUGGUGUUAUAGCAGCCAUGAAUCCAAACAAAUUCAAAAUCCACUUGAACACUCGCAGAAAUCAACAGAAGAAAACGAGGAAGAAACCAACAGCCAAAAUAGGAUAACCAACUAAGAAGAAAUCAGUAAACCCAAUGGCACAUAUUAAUUUAACUCAUAAUGAAUCAGAUUAAGUGAAGGGAGAAGAAAUGAAAAUGUUAAUUCGAAAUUCUUUCAAUAAUAACAGAAGAUUACAAUGUUUUGCUCCAAAAUUCCCACUGAAAACAUCAGCAAUAUCGGCAGAAAUCGCAAGCCAAAUCCAAAUCGCGAAAACUCGGACAGAACUCAAAACGGCACCGAAAUUCCGAACCCAAACGCAAACUCCAACUUAAACUUCAAUCAAACUCCAUUUUAACACACAAAAAAUUCGAAAAUGGAAACAGAGGAAACAGACCCCCUUCUUUUUAUAUUUUUCUGAUAUCCAAAUAAAAGAAAAACUGAAGAGAUUUGUAUAUUUUUUCAAGAGAUAGACUAGAAUUUUUAGAAGGAAAAUAUUGAAACUCCACUAACCCUAGAACUUUACCCCUCAAAAAUCUCUCCGAAAAUUUGUCUAGCCUUUUCUUCCAAAAUUCCUCUAAUUAUCAGGCAAAAACCUGAUGAAUGAAGGGCUGGGAUCAAUUGAAAUCGAUCCCACGCUCCCCAUUCAUCCAGCAUAUGCCUUCUAGAGGCUUCCAACACGUGAGAAGAGAGGUGAGGAUGAGAGAAUCUGUCAGGAACAGUUAGCAUCUUGAUGACGUGGUGAGAUGGGGGGUGUGUGCGAGUGAACUCGCCUGAGUUUCUGGCGAGCUGGGGCUGGUUCGGACGAGGCAGAUGAAGGAGAAAUGAGAGAAUGCGCCAUUUUUGGUCUCUAGGUUUAGGUUUU
rnacentral:lncRNA from 1 species